CAGUAGCCGCGGGAAUACGUAGGUGGCAAGCGUUGUCCGGAAUUAUUGGGCGUAAAGGGCUCGCAGGCGGUUUCUUAAGUCUGAUGUGAAAGCUCCCGGCUCAACCGGGGAGGGUCAUUGGAAACUGGGAAACUUGAGUGCAGAAGAGGAGAGUGGAAUUCCACGUGUAGCGGUGAAAUGCGUAGAGAUGUGGAGGAACACCAGUGGCGAAGGCGACUCUCUGGUCUGUAACUGACGCUGAGGAGCGAAAGCGUGGGGAGCGAACAGGAUUAGAUACCCCAGUAGUCCCUGUCUCUUAUAC
rnacentral:rRNA from 1 species